AGCUUUCAACAUUGGAUUUCUUGGUUCAGGCAUCGAUAAAGAACGCAGCGACAUGCGAUAACUAGCUCAUAAAAUAAUGUAUGCGGACUUCACCGCUGCGAAGUCGACGGUAAGUUAUCUUUGUAUACUUAGAGAUGGUGACUGAAUAGGACUGU
rnacentral:rRNA from 1 species